GACGAACGCUGGCGGCGUGCUUAACACAUGCAAGUCGAACGGAAAGGCCCUGCUUGCAGGGUACUCGAGUGGCCAACGGGUGAGUAACACGUGGGUGAUCUGCCCUGCACUUCGGGAUAAGCCUGGGAAACUGGGUCUAAUACCGGAAAGGAGCCAUUUUUAGUGUGAUGGUUGGAAAGUUUUUUCGGUGUAGGAUGAGCUCGCGGCCUAUCAGCUUGUUGGUGGGGUAAUGGCCUACCAAGGCGGCGACGGGUAGCCGGCCUGAGAGGGUGGACGGCCACAUUGGGACUGAGAUACGGCCCAGACUCCUACGGGAGGCAGCAGUGGGGAAUAUUGCACAAUGGGCGCAAGCCUGAUGCAGCGACGCCGCGUGGGGGAUGACGGCCUUCGGGUUGUAAACUCCUUUCGCUAGGGACGAAGCUUUUUGUGACGGUACCUAGAUAAGAAGCACCGGCUAACUACGUG
rnacentral:rRNA from 1 species